rnacentral:rRNA from 1 species
UACGUAGGGGGCGAGCGUUGUCCGGAGUUACUGGGCGUAAAGCGCACGCAGGCGGUCUUUUAAGUUUGGAGUGACAGUACCCGGCUCAACCGGGUGAGGCCUUUGAAGACUGAAAGACUUGAGGACCAGAGAGGGACAUAGAAUUCCGGGUGGAGUGGUGAAAUGCGUAGAUAUCCGGAGGAAUACCAAAGGCGAAGGCAGUGUCCUGGCUGGUAACUGACGCUCAGGUGCGAAAGCUAGGGGAG